CAUCUACUCCCUCCGUUCCGAAUUACUUGUCGCAGGUAUGGAUGUAUUUAGAUGUAUUUUAGUUCUAGAUACAUCCAUUUCUGUGACGAGUAAUUUGGAACGGAGGGAGUAGAUG
rnacentral:pre_miRNA from 1 species